UACGUAGGGCGCAAGCGUUGUCCGGAAUUAUUGGGCGUAAAGAGCUCGUAGGCGGCUUGUCACGUCGGAUGUGAAAGCCCGGGGCUUAACUCCGGGUCUGCAUUCGAUACGGGCUGGCUAGAGUGUGGUAGGGGAGAUCGGAAUUCCUGGUGUAGCGGUGAAAUGCGCAGAUAUCUGGAGGAACACCAGUGGCGAAGGCGGCAUCCUGGCCAUGUACUGACGCUCAGGGGCGAAAGCGUGGGGAGCAAACCGG
rnacentral:rRNA from 1 species